rnacentral:rRNA from 1 species
AUACGUAGGGAGCAAGCGUUAUCCGGAUUUAUUGGGUGUAAAGGGUGCGUAGACGGGAAAGCAAGUUGGUUGUGAAAUCCCUCGGCUUAACUGAGGAACUGCAACCAAAACUACUAUUCUUGAGUGCGGGAGAGGAAAGCGGAAUUCCUAGUGUAGCGGUGAAAUGCGUAGAUAUUAGGAGGAACACCAGUGGCGAAGGCGGCUUUCUGGACCGUAACUGACGUUGAAGCACGAAAGUGUGGGGAGCAAACAGGAUUAGAUACCCUGGUAGUCCACACUGUAAACGAUGGAUACUAGGUGUAGGGAGUUAUAUACUUUCUGUGCCGAAAGCAAACGCAAUAAGUAUCCCACCUGGGGAGUACGACCGCAAGGUUGAAACUCAAAGGAAUUGACGGGG